rnacentral:rRNA from 1 species
UACGGGGGGGGGCAAGCGUUGUUCGGAAUUACUGGGCGUAAAGGGCUCGUAGGCGGCCAACUAAGUCGGAUGUGAAAUCCCCAGGCUUAACCUGGGAACUGCAUCCGAUACUGGAUGGCUUGAAUUCGGGAGAGGGAUGCAGAAUUCCAGGUGUAGCGGUGAAAUGCGUAGAUAUCUGGAGGAAUACCGGUGGCGAAGGCGGCAUCCUGGACCGGCAUUGACGCUGAUGAGCGAAAGCUAGGGGAGCAAACGGG